AUACGGUCAUAUCAUGUUGAAACACGUUCUCAUUCGAUCACUGAAGUUAAGCAACGUUGAGUUUGGUCAGUAUCUAGAUAGGUAACCGUUUGUGAAUAGCAGGUCCUGUA